rnacentral:ncRNA from 1 species
UUGCGCCUGCGGUGGACGCAGCGGUGCACUUAUGAUCAUGUCUUGCAGGCGGCUGUGCUCCGUACCGUCUCGUGAACCGAAACUUUUCGGAUUCAAAAUCCUCCC